rnacentral:rRNA from 1 species
UACAGAGGGUGCGAGCGUUACUCGGAAUUACUGGGCGUAAAGCGCGCGUAGGCGGCUUUUCAAGUCGAUUGUGAAAUCCCCGGGCUUAACCUGGGAACUGCAGUCGAGACUGUCUAGCUAGAGUAUGGGAGAGGGAAGUGGAAUUUCAGGUGUAGCGGUGAAAUGCGUAGAUAUCUGAAGGAACAUCAGUGGCGAAAGCGACUUCCUGGACCAAUACUGACGCUCAUGUGCGAAAGCGUGGGGAGCAAACUGG